GCAGUGUGCCCGCGCUCCUCGGCCACGCCCCGGAAGUGCGGGCGCCGGCAAGAUGGCGGCUGCAGCGGGGCCGCCGCGGGGCCUCCGCCACCUAUGCCGGUUGCUGCUCUUCCUCUCCCAGUUCUACAUUUUGUCGGGUGGUGAGCACUCGCAGCCGCUGACUCAGGCAGUAAAGGAUCCGGGCCCAACACGCACAUUCACAGUAGUUCCCAGGGCAGCAGAAAGUACCGAAAUCCCACCUUACAUGAUGAAGUGUCCAAGCAAUGGUUUGUGUAGCAGACUCCCUGCAGACUGUAUAGACUGCGCGACAAAUUUCUCCUGUGUCUAUGGGAAGCCUGUCACUUUUGAUUGUACAGUGAAGCCUUCCGUUACUUGUGUUGAUCAAGACUUCAAACCCCAAAAGAACUUCAUCAUCAACAUGACUUGCAGAUUUUGCUGGCAGCUUCCUGAAACAGAUUACGAAUGCACCAAUUCCACCAGCUGCAUGACUGUGUCCUGCCCCCGGCAGCGCUACCUUGCCAACUGCACAGUGCGGGACCACAUUCAUUGCUUGGGUAACCGUACUUUUCCCAAAAUGCUGUACUGCAAUUGGACUGGAGGCUAUAAGUGGUCGACUGCUCUGGCUCUAAGGUCCUUCUACCAUGAUGUUCCUGCCAUGGCACCAGCUGACUAUGGACUGAAACCUCCGAAACCGGAUGAAAAGCAUUGCUGGGAUGAGACCAGUGAAAGAGGGCUAGUGAACAACCAGGAUAGGUUCUCCGAUGGCUACCGAGGCUCCAUGCUGAACCAGAGAAAGAAAGCCUGAGAUGAACCUCACAGGACCUGAAAUCCUCUGUAACCCAAAGAAGGAAACCUUGGUUCAAGACAGUAGAGGAUCUGCGUGAAGAGUGCUCACUUCAGCAGCACACACACUACAAUCUUUGUAAAGAAACCAGAGGCCACAUAUUCCAGUAAGAUACGGGCCAGCUGCUUCUCAGUUCAUUCCUAUCUGACCACAGAACAUUGAGUGGAACUCAAGGAGCAUUGUUCAGCAGCUUUAAGUACAUUCCCAUCAUUGGGCAACUAUCACCUCCCUCCUCCUCUUCCUCCUUCUCGUCUCUUUCCCCCUUCAUCGAUCUGUUUUUGAGUUCAAUGAAUCUCCAGUUUAUUGCCAAGCUCAUCCAGUCCAGAGUGCAGGUUCUGGUAGAGGUGUAGCUCAGCUCCCCACUGGAGUUCAACAAUGCCAUUUCGAUGAAAACGGAGUUCCAGGCUCUCACUAGUUUCUUUCAGAUGGAUGUCACUUAACCAUGGGGUCCCUGAAGAAUAAGCUGUCAUGAUAUGAGCUGCCUGUUGAGAGCAAUAUCUCAGGGGACAGUGGGUGGCCUGCAAGAGCGGAGACCUUCAAUCCUCUGACUGCAAGGGCUGCAGCUGGAAGGCUCAGAAGCUCAGGCCAGGAGCUCACAAGGCUCAUUAACUACUUGCCUGGAGGUUCUCCACAUGGGGCUCUGCAUGUGAUCUCUCUGCGUGGGUCUGGCUUUGGUCUUGGUAUGGCUUGGAUGUGACAUGUCCCCGCGGAUUCAUGUAUCGGAAGCUUGUUCCCCCAAGUGAUGAUGCAAGAGGCGGUAAGACCUUUAAAAGGUGGGGCCUUGUAGCCAGCGAUGAAGUUAUUUUGAAGGUGUUGUCCUUGGAAGAGAUUAAAAUAGUUCUCAUGGGAUCCUGAGUUCCACAAAAGCAAGUUGCUAUAAAGAAGCAAGCCUGAUCCAUGAAUUGCUCCCUGAAUUCCUGUCUCACUGUGAUCUUGACCCACCGCUGUGACACCAUCCACCACGAGGUCCUCAUCAGAGCUGAACCAAUGCCAGUGCUAUGCUCUUAAUCCUCUAGAACUGUGAGCUAAAUAAAUCUCAUUUCUUUGUAAGUCCCCAGCCUCCGUUUUCAUCAAAGUAACAGAAAAUGGGUUGUACAGGUUUCUGGACGGCGUGGCAGUUGGCUACAUGGCAGCCGUGUUGCCCGCUCAGCCUUACUCCAGAGGUCCUGCAGGAUCAUCGGCAUCACAGUCUACUCACUGAUCCAGGUACAAUGACCCAUCCCAGUUCCCGAGGAACAGACAUAAACGCCAGCUCUUUCCUGGGAAGGUAAGAAGAUUCAGAAAAGGCAUAGGAAACUAGAAAUAGCAUAGUGUACGUUUUAGAAAAUAGUUUGCUACAAGAAAACUCCAGGCUUUUAAGAGAUGGAGAAAAAAGGAAAAAGAAAACAAAGAUGAGGGGAAGCUAGCUACGACUUCUUGGAAAUCUCUCAGAAUCUUCUAGUUCUUUUUCCCUGUGACUGGGAUUGGACAGUAAUUACCAGUUAUUCUUUUGCCUGUGAUAUUGCAUGUGCCCCUGUUAAAAGAGUUCCUAUUUAAUUUGUUUUGUCCAGGAUUUGUUAAUCCUGUGUCCCUUCUAGGGCCAUGCCAGUUAGCUAGGUUUUACCACAGCUCUGCCCCUUCCGGCCCUACCACAGAUGGAUUGGUAGGAGGAAGUCAGAGGCCUGGAGUGUCCUUGUCCAGCACAAGUAAUUUUCAUCACUGAGCACUUUCUUUGUCAACCUGGGAUUCCAAAAAUCUAGGUAGUUGAGUGUAGAACCUGAAUUGAGUUUAGAGGUCUCCUGAUGUCAAGGGAAGAACACUGACCAUUGGAUCAUUAGGAUUUUCUUUUUCUGUUUUAAGAUACCUCUCAAAAUAGCAAUCCUGUCUCUGUCAAAAGCUUUUCAGAGUGAAUCCUGUGAGUACAAAUGAUCUUUGAUGAAAUGUAGUCAGACCCGUGGCAUUGUAUCCACACAUUCAACCAAUGCAAGAGAACAUAUUCAGAAAAAAAAUUGAAACAGUACUGAACGUUCACAGGCUUUCUUUUCCUUGUCAUUUCCCCCUGGACAAUACAGCAUUACAAUGAUUCGCAUGGCAUUUGCCUUGUAUUAGGUGUCAUAAGUAACCUAGAGAUGAUCUAAAAUAUGCAGGAGGGUCCAUGUAGUUUAUAUGCCAAUGCUGUGUCAUUUUAUGUAAGGGACUUGAGUUGCAGAUUCUGAAAUCUGUGAAUUUGGUGUCUGUGGAGCUUCUGGAACCAAUCGAGCCUGGAUGCCAAGGGAUGGAUGUGAUGCCAUUUACACGAGUCAACUGUUAUAUGAAACCCAGACCAAGCUAGUAUUGGCCUAUCUGUGGCACUGACUUGGGCUGAGAUACUCUCAUGAGAGCUGUGGUGCUCAGUAAGAACAGUGUGUCCACAAUCCCAUGUCUUCAGAACCUGUCCCAGAGCCACCUGUCAUCAGGCUGGACUCAAGGACCCUCCUCUUAUCUGUCUGCUCUCAUGUCUUGAGUGUUGUUUGUCUUAAGAGGCCAUCUGUGGGACAGGGCGGCCCUUGGAGCUGGUUCAAGGAGGGACUCGUUGGAUUUACUUCUGCCCUCUCCCUAUACACACCCUCUUACAGUUAUCAGCACUCAGUGGACUGAGAGGCGUGAGGAAAUGUUCAGAUCUUAGCCUCAAACUAACCCCUAACAGAUGGUAACUUACGCAAUUUCCAAAUUAGGGCUCCAGUCUGCAGGACCAAAAGUCUCCUCUGCAUCAUAAUGAAACCCACCUGUUGAAGUCCAGCAACCAAGACCACCAGGGACACAAUCUGCUAUGGUUUGGAUGUGUCCCCAAAAGUUCAUGUGCUGGAAACUUGAUCUCCAAAUUCACAUGUUGAUGGUAUUUGUGGUUGAGACCUUUGAGAAGCAAUUAGACGAGAUGAAGUCACGAGGCUGGAUUCAUGUGAUACAUUGGUGACUUUAAUACAAGAGGAGACCUGAGCUGGCUGGCAUGCUUACUGUGUCUCACUGUGUGAUGCCCCGGCCACGCAGCAGGACGAUACUUGCCAGAUGCUCCUGGACUUUGCAGCCUCUCCAACUGUGAUCCAAGCAAACCUCCAUGCUCCCCUGAUUACCUGGUCUCUGGUAUUCAGAUGUAGCAACAGAAAACAGACUAAGACAACAUCUUUCACCCAAAAAGGUGGGAUUCUUUAGCCUCCUGCUGCAAAGGAGAAACUUCACUCCUGGUGUGGCUGAGCCUGGGUGGCUGUGAUUUCCCACUGACCAUGGGGAAGCAGAUGUGCUAAGAGAUGUCCCAGAGAGCCCCCACCACAGUGACAGCAGAGGACAGCCACGGCCCAGCCUCUGCUUGCUGUGCCUGAGAGGUACAGCCCCAGGUUCAGAUCACGACCCUCUUCUCUUUGUCCCCCGGCAUCCGCAGGUACAAAUCUCCCAUUGCUUCAGCGCCCAUGCCCACUCUCUUAUCUCUGUCAGUCUUCACACUAGGUACAUGUUGAGAGAGAGCAUCCCUUAUUUGAAAAUUGGAAAUGCUCCCAAAUCCAAAACUUUUCUGAGUCCUGACUUGAUGUUCAAAGGUAUCAGGUUUUGGAGUAUUCCACAUUUUCAGAUUAGAGAUGCUUGGCCACUAAAGUCUAUUGCAAAUACUCCAAAGUCUGAAAAGCUCCAAAAUCUGAAAAUCCCAGUCCUAAGCAUUUCAGAUAAAGGAUAUUCAAUUCAUACCUCUAUUUACCUCCUUUUGCUCCAUGAGCCUACUGGGGCCUCUGGGUUUGGUUUGGUUGUGGCCUGUCCCAGGCACACACAACUCCUUAAGAAGCCACCUGUGUCCUCUCUGCCUGUUUCCUUCUAACUGGCUGCAGUGGGGCCACAGUGACCUUAGUCACAGGGCCAUGUAGUCAGGGAGGCUGAGCAAAAGAGAGAUAUUCCCUGAGGAUGCGAUGGAGCUUCCACCUCAGAUCUGACAGGAGGAAAUAAAAUAUACUCUUAUUUAAACCACACUGCAUUUCUAGCCGCCAAAUGGCAUUCUUAACUGACCCGGAGCCUUGGGGUCAGCCACUGCCCAUGGUGGAGAAAGGGAUGGCUGAUGUGUGGCUGUAUAAGGAAAGGAUUCUUAGAGGAAGUAAGGAAUGCAGCUAAUUUUUGAUUUCAUAGUCAAGAAAACAUCGUGUAAGUAGAUAUUAAAGUCAGACAUUUCAGAAUCCCUGCUGCUUUGUGACAGCGGAUGAAAGGGACUACAGUUAUGGGCAGCUGUGACCCUGGCCCUCGAUCUCCUGCGCCACAUGUGAGAGAUGCAGUGGGAAGGCUGGCCUUGCCUGAGGGAGGCAGCGCAGUGAAGAAAAACGGAAGCUCUAGACCUUUCUAAUACAUCACUGGGAUCUUUAACCAUUCUGGGCCUCAGCUUCUGCAUCUGUGAAAUGGGGAUGAAACAAGAGACUUGGAGAGAACCAACCAGGAGCCCUCUGUGGGGCCGGGUUGGGCAGAGAUGUAAUGGUGGCCUGCUCCUGCAGACACCCACACCUGGCAGCAGGUGGCGCUCAGGAGGCCGUGCAGUGGGCAAGGACCCCAAGCCUGAGGAAAGCAGCUCCCACUCGUCUUCCUGGAAUACAUGGCCUGACAGCCAACCAGUAAGAGGCUGGGUAUCAGCAGGGGUGUGAAGAUCCGGCCCGCAUGCAGACCUCUGGCUGCUGGGGGUUAGGAGACCCCAGAUGCAGACCUGCUCCUCGGGUCCCCUGCAGCCCUCCAUCCCUGCUAACUCAGGCUGGAUGGACCAUAGUGCCAUUGAUUAUGUGUCUGCUGAACCAGAGAUUGCAACUGAUUGCGACGACGUUCACCUUGCCAUUUCACUCUAAGUGAUCCCCUGGGCCUUUGUGAGUCGCUGUGCCACAGUUAACAGCCGCUGACCAUUGAGGGCACAAGUGGCCAAACAGGCCAGCGACCUGGAGCCGUUUCUGUAGGGACCAUGGAGGCACACUCACCGCUGCUGUCUUCUCUCUGCAGCCCACAGCAUGACUGGGCUGUCACAGAGAGGGCCCCGAGUCACCAAAGAAAAGUCAAAUUGUGUUUUGAAUGGUUUGGUCAGGGAUAAAGACUUUCUGAUAUGAGGCUAAUUUGUACAUUAGAGUGAUGACCAGGGUGGCCUGGGUUGUUUGGAGAAAUUAGAUCCCACUGUUCCCUGCCA